rnacentral:rRNA from 1 species
GACGAACGCUGGCGGCGUGCCUAAUACAUGCAAGUAGAACGCUGAAGGAGGAGCUUGCUUCUCUGGAUGAGUUGCGAACGGGUGAGUAACGCGUAGGUAACCUGCCUGGUAGCGGGGGAUAACUAUUGGAAACGAUAGCUAAUACCGCAUAAUAGUAGAUGUUGCAUGACAUUUGCUUAAAAGGUGCAAUUGCAUCACUACCAGAUGGCCCUGCGUUGUAUUAGCUAGUUGGUGGGGUAACGGCUCACCAAGGCGACGAUACAUAGCCGACCUGAGAGGGUGAUCGGCCACACUGGGACUGAGACACGGCCCAGACUCCUACGGGAGGCAGCAGUAGGGAAUCUUCGGCAAUGGACGGAAGUCUGACCGAGCAACGCCGCGUGAGUGAAGAAGGUUUUCGGAUCGUAAAGCUCUGUUGUAAGAGAAGAACGAGUGUGAGAGUGGAAAGUUCACACUGUGACGGUAUCUUACCAGAAAGGGACGGCUAACUACGUG